rnacentral:rRNA from 1 species
AGAGUUUGAUCAUGGCUCAGAUUGAACGCUGGCGGCAUGCUUAAUACACGCAAGUCGAACGGUAACAGGUCCUUCGGGAUGCUGACGAGUGGCGGACGGGUGAGUAAUGCAUAGGAAUCUGCCCAGUAGUAGGGGACAACCUGAGGAAACUCAGGCUAAUACCGUAUAAGUCCUACGGGAGAAAGGGGGCCUCCUCUUGAAAGCUCUCGCUAUUGGAUGAGCCUAUGUCGGAUUAGCUUGUUGGUGGGGUAACGGCCUACCAAGGCGACGAUCCGUAGCUGGUCUGAGAGGACGAUCAGCCACACUGGGACUGAGACACGGCCCAGACUCCUACGGGAGGCAGCAGUAGGGAAUAUUGGACAAUGGGCGAAAGCCUGAUCCAGCAAUGCCGCGUGUGUGAAGAAGGCCUGCGGGUUGUAAAGCACUUUCAGUUGGGAAGAAAAUCUUUAGGUUAAUAUCCUAAAGUCUUGACGUUACCAACAGAAGAAGCACCGGCUAACUCUGUGCCAGCAGCCGCGGUAAUACAGAGGGUGCGAGCGUUAAUCGGAAUUACUGGGCGUAAAGCGUGCGUAGGCGGUUAAGUCAGUCGGAUGUGAAAGCCCAAGGCUUAACCUUGGAACGGCAUUCGAUACUGCUUAGCUAGAGUACAGUAGAGGGAAGC